ensembl:antisense
ACACAGAUGGAAUUCAGGCUGGGAAUAAACAGCAAACACCAACGCAGUGUGUGUGCCAGGAACCCUCGUGUGCAGGGCGGGGUUGUACCGAGAGGGACGGGAACACUGGGUCUCUGCACUCUUCUAGCUACACACUUGACUGGAUGCAGCUUGGCCUUCACUUGAAUUCCUACAACAGGACAGAUGAACCUUUCCCAAGGAAAACCGAGCAAGUCAUCAAAAGCCCUGGUUUGGGGAUCAUCUUGCUGAUCAAUACAUCCUCUUGGGUAGAGGACAGUUGUCUCCCCUCAUCUCCCUGACCUACGUGACACCAUCUCGGGAAAUCCACAUGGUGCCCGAUGUGUAGCUUUGGUAGAACUGUGUCACUUGCUGGACACUCGUGAUGGAUUAUAGAGCGGGUCAAGAACAGUGUGGAGGAGGGCCAUGUUUGUGAGGUAGAGGAGAUCCUACCAAAUAUCUAGGUGACAUUCAUGUUCUUGUGUGCACAGAAGACAGGCAUCUAAAGGGAACCACACCAACUCAAGCGCGCUGGCAACCUCUGGGCGGUAGUGUGGAGAGGGUUCCCACUUUCUGUGUUACGCAUACCUGCUGUUUGCACUGCGUGACUUACUGGAUAAGCAAUACAUUUACGUGUUUGAAAAGUUAAAGAGAGGGCUGGGGUACAGUUCAGUGAUAGAGCACUCACCUAGCAUGAGUUUGGGCCUGGUUCAUUCUCUACCAUGGAAGAAAAACUGUGUGUGUCGGCUGUGUGUAUGUGUACAUGCUGUACAUGUGCUGUGUAUGUGUGCUGUGUAUGUACGUGGUCUGUGUAUGUUGUCUGUGUAUGUGCAUGAAUGUUGUGUGUGUGCAUGCAUGCGUGCAUGCAGAUGCCAGAACUUGAAGGCACUGGUGCCCUGCUUUAUUUUCCUCUACCUAUUCCCUUGAGAGCAGAUCUCUCAUUGACUUUAGAGAUAAGGAAGUGGACAGCAAGCCCCACUGAUCGCCCUGCCUCCAUCCCCUUAGUGCACACCAGCCUGCCCAGACUUGACUACAGCCAGCUCUGAGCUUAGGUGCUCACGCUUGGGGGCCAUGUACUUUACCCACUGAGCUAACUCUCUAACCCCUCUGCCACCAACCCGAUACAGUCAAUAAUAAAGACAGAAUAAGAAGGACCCUCUUGUGCUGGCUAGUUUUACGUCAACUUGACACGAGCCAUAGUCAUCUAAGGAAAGGGAACCUCAAUUGAGAAAAUGCCUCCACAAGACUGGGCAGCAGGCAAACUUGCAGGAAAUUUUCUUAGUGAUUGACAUGGGAGGGCCCAACCUAUUGUGGGUGGGGCCACCCUAAGGCUGGUAGUCCUGCAUUCUCCUGUAAGAAGAAUGAGCAAGAUCUGAGGAGCAAGCGAGCAAGCAUCUAUGUAUGCUCACCCCUCUAUGGCCUCCACAUCAGCUCCUGCCUCCAAGUUCCUGCCCUGUUUGAGUUUCAGUCCUGACUUCCUUGGAUGACGACAGUGGACUGGGAGUAUAGGUUAAAUAAACGCUUUCCUCCCUAAGCUGCUUUGGCCAUGGUUUCAUCACAGCAGUCGUGACCCUAAGUAAGACACCACCUCAUUCCGUCCUCCCAGCUUGAAGCCUCUAGAGAGCCACUGAUUAGUAGUUUUCCUUACCUCAUAUUUUAGCACAUGUAUGUACAUUCAUAUUCCUCCCGGGCUUUGUGUCCCCUCUGUACAGGAGUGAAACCCACCCUUGUUGAGAACAACACAGUUGUGUUUGUCCUUGUUUUACAGUGGGGGAUGCAGGAUCAGGGUCACGGUGCAGGGUGCCAGGUCACUCUGUGGUGGGGACUGUGAUGUGCCUCUGUGCAGGCUUCUCCAUGGUUCUCACCUGGAGGUUUGCUAAGUUUCGUGGAUCUGCGUUUCUAGUUUUCAGCUAACUUGAGCAAGUUUCAGCCCCGACCCAAAUACUCACAUGUGCUCCCUCCACUCCUUCAGUAACUCCGAGUAUGAUGUGCUACACAAUAUAUAACAAUUAUCACGGGCUUGUGUUUCGUUCACAACAACCCUAGUGCCUCGAUGCUGUAGUCACUCUCGCUUUGCAGGAGUGGAAACUGAGGCCAGGGAGGCAGAGCCCAUGGUCCUCAGGUGGAGGAUAUUUGAUGGCUCUGAGGCCAGGGAGGCUUUGUACCCUGGCUGAUCACAGCAUCUGGCUCCCACUGCCAGGCUUCCCUGCGGCCAUAUGUUCUCAGCAAUGACAGAAUGACAGACAGGGACUUACUUUCGUGCCUCCUCGUCCUGUAGGGCUGGGUUACGGAAGGGCUGGUCGUACACCUUCUUGUAGAGCUCAGGCAGCUCAAGCAUCCUUGCGAUUUGUACGUUCCACACUGGAUCGUCCACCUUAUCUAACAACCCAGGAAAGAGAGGCCAUAGGAGUAACCCCGAGAGAACAUCUUCCCACGUCCAAAUUACCACUAGGACAAUAGUCUAGAGUUACAGAAGAGCUCCAGCCAUCCCCUGAGAGAGAAGACAAGGCCCUAUGUGUGACAGACACAUCUAAGGUAGGGACAGGCCUGUCACUAGCAAUCUGUAUGUUAUGCUGAUGGACUACUGGGACAGCCUUGUAAUUUAUCUAUGUAUCUAUUGAGACAGGGUCUCCCUACGAGCCUUGGCUAGCCUGUAACUCAUUAUGUAGACCAGGCUGGCCUUGAAGAUCUGUCUGCUUCUGUCUCCUGGGUUCUGGAAUUAAAGGCAUGUACCACC